rnacentral:rRNA from 1 species
GAACGCUGGCGGCGUACUUAACACAUGCAAGUCGAACGAGGAUCUUCGGUGUAGCAAUACAUUGUUGGUCCUAGUGACGCACGGGUGAGUAACACGUGGGUGACCUGCCCUUGAGCUCGGGAUACCCCCUCGAAAGGGGGGCUAAUACCGGAUACGUUCCUCGGUCGAAAGACUGGGGAGGAAAGGUGGCGCAAGCUGCCGCUCUUGGAGGGGCUCGCGGCCUAUCAGCUAGUUGGCGGGGUAACGGCCCACCAAGGCUAUGACGGGUAGCUGGUCUGAGAGGACGAUCAGCCACACUGGAACUGAGACACGGUCCAGACUCCUACGGGAGGCAGCAGUGGGGAAUUUUGCGCAAUGGGGGAAACCCUGACGCAGCAACGCCGCGUGAGUGAUGAAGGCCUUCGGGUCGUAAAGCUCUGUCAGUGGGGAAGAAAUGGAACGUGCUAAUACCACGUUUUCUUGACGGUACCCACAAAGGAAGCACCGGCUAACUCCGUGCCAGCAGCCGCGGUAAUACGGAGGGUGCAAGCGUUGUUCGGAUUUAUUGGGCGUAAAGCGCGUGUAGGCGGUUUCUUAAGUCUGAUGUGAAAGCCCCGGGCUCAACCCGGGAAGUGCAUUGGAUACUGGGAGACUUGAAUACGGGAGAGGGUAGUGGAAUUCCUAGUGUAGGAGUGAAAUCCGUAGAUAUUAGGAGGAACACCGGUGGCGAAGGCGGCUACCUGGACCGAUAUUGACGCUGAGACGCGAAAGCGUGGGGAGCAAA